GACGAACGCUGGCGGCGUGCCUAACACAUGCAAGUCGAACGGAGUCAGAAAGCUUGCUUUUUGACUUAGUGGCGGACGGGUGAGUAACGCGUGGGUAACCUGCCCUGUACAGGGGGAUAACAGUUGGAAACGACUGUUAAUACCGCAUAAGACCACAGUGCCGCAUGGCACAGGGGUAAAAACUCCGGUGGUACAGGAUGGACCCGCGUCCAAUUAGCUAGUUGGUGAGGUAACGGCCCACCAAGGCGACGAUUGGUAGCCGAUCUGAGAGGAUGACCGGCCACAUUGGGACUGAGACACGGCCCAAACUCC
rnacentral:rRNA from 1 species